rnacentral:lncRNA from 1 species
CAUGGCAGGUCUAACCACAGCUCUAUAAAAUUUCCCCUUAAGUUUCUGUGGAACUUUCUUGUCACACAGGACUCCUGAUGCAAGCCUCCACUUAACCACCCCGCUCCUAUACGAUGAGUAACGUCCCCGUCAAUCUCCUCGUCCCCCUGAAUCACCGACCCAAGAUAUCUGACACUGUCCCUCUUGACGAUGACCUGGGAUCCAAUCAUCAUGUCCAUGCCUACCUCGCUCGGCUCGGCGCUAAACUUGCAUUCCAGGUAUUCCGUCUUAGAUCUGCUUAUUUUGAAACCCUUAGAUUCGAGAAUCCGUCUCCAUACCUCUAACAUCUCAAUAACACCGACCCUCGUCUCAUCUAUCAAGACUAUAUCAUCGGCAAAUAACAUACACCAAGGCACAUCCCCUUGAAUAUGUCGGGUUAGAGCAUCUAUCACUAAUGCAAACAAGAGGGGGCUCAGCGCCGAUCCUUGAUGGAGCCCCAUUAUCACAGGAAAAUGGCCUAAUUCGCCACCCACNNNNNNNNNNNNNNNNNNNNNNNNNNNNNNNNNCCUUGAAUAUGUCGGGUUAGAGCAUCCAUCACCAAGGCAAACAAGAGAGGGCUAAGCGCCGAUCCUUGAUGGAGCCCCAUAACCACCGGAAAAUGGUCGGAAUCGCCACCCGCCGUCCUAACCCUAGUCUUAGCUUCAUCGUACAUGUCCUUGAUUACUCCGAUGUAGGCUUCCGGCACGCUCUUCGCCUCCAAGUGCUAGACUCCCUACUUUUCGAAUUCUGAAUAUAGGAGUACUCAUGGAAAAAGGCCACACUCUUUC